rnacentral:rRNA from 1 species
GACAGAGGGUGCAAACGUUGUUCGGAAUUACUGGGCGUAAAGCGCGUGUAGGCGGCUAUGCAAGUCGGAUGUGAAAGCCCUCGGCUCAACCGGGGAAGUGCACCCGAAACUGCAAAGCUAGAGUCUCGGAGAGGAUCGUGGAAUUCUCGGUGUAGAGGUGAAAUUCGUAGAUAUCGAGAGGAACACCGGUGGCGAAGGCGGCGAUCUGGAUCACUACUGACGCUGAAGAACGAAAGCUAGGGGAGCAAACAGG